rnacentral:lncRNA from 1 species
ACUGACCUCUACAGUCGGGAUCGGCGCCGCCAGCUGCUCCGGAGUCAGGUUCCCAAACUCCUCCGCUAGCACGUCCAUGCUGCUCACGAAGGAGGAAGAAACAGAUAGAACCUCCGCGCCCGCCUUCCCUGCACCAAGCAAACUGCAAGACUCCCGGCGAACGGUGCGCGGAGGCCUAAACUGUCCCCGCCGUGCGUGUUAGCUAGAGACGCGGUAGAAAGGUUCCGCCCGCUCCCUGCCCGAAUCUGCGGUGGAACCCGGAUGUGGCCGAGGCCGAGUAAGGAAAGUACGCCCUCUGGUGUAGCUCGGAGGUCUGGCGCAGGGAAUCCUAAGCCCCAGCUGUCAGGUUUCUUGCCAAUUCUCUGGUAAUUGAGACCAGCAAAACAUAGUGGUUGUCAUUUUAAAAGUAAUCCGAAGAAAAGUGUAAACGCAUAAUUUACGC